GGACGAAUGGGCGCGGGGCGGGGAGGAGGGUCUGUCAGGGUGGCAUUUUCAGCUUGCAACCUGCCACGCAGAUUCUCCCGGGCUAGAGGGGAGGGGGUGUGCGGGGAGGGCGGGGAAGCCUCGUCUCUCGGCGCGUUCAUUCUCCCAUCCCCGGUCUUUUCCCGCUUCUCUCCGCGCUCACCUGUUUAUUUCCAUCACCCAGAGCGUGCAGUUUUUUAUGCAGGCAUGAGAGGCUGUUUCUUUUAUUAGAAACGUUAUUGGGGAAGGGGGUGCGUUGCUGUAAUUUAUGCCAGUCCAGGUCGGUUUUCAAGAAGGGGGAGGGGACUUGGCGGAGACCGCCUGCUCUUGGCCGCAGCUGACCCCCGGGCUUCUCCGGCCCAGGAUCACUCUGCUACCCGCACGCCAGCUGCCAGCUUCUUGGAGAAGGACCACACCUGUGCUUAUUCCUGCUUUGGAAGAGAGGUGAGCUGAGAAACCAGGGAAUCCUCUGUUCCCCAGAGCUCUUAGCUGACCCCCAUCCCAGAAUUGGCCAGAAAGUGCCCCUUUCACCUGCUGAUUGCAGUGGACCCGCCCUUCCCUUCACCCUGGCAAGUUGUGAUCUACAGAUGUGUUGGGAUUUCUCUUUCCCCUGGACAUGCACCCCGCCAGCCAGCAACUAGCUGCUGGGUUUAGAUGGAAAGAGCGCGGUGACCCCCUUCCGUCCAGUGCGCGUUCUUUUUCCCCCACGGGGUCUUCUGUUGGAAUCGUCUGCUCUCCCCACAGCCCCCUUCGUUCUUCCCUUAAGAGCUUAGCCUAGAAUCAGGCCUAAGGAGCCCGUCUCUGGCUCUCUUCCGUGGGCCCCACCCUGGCCCCUCUUGGUUCUCAAGAGCCAAACACGCCUCCCAGGCAGAAGGCACACCCAGCCCCAAAUCUAACCAUUGCAGAAGGGAGGAGGAAACAGUAGAAGAGAAGGGACCCAAGGGUCUCCUUUCUGUCCUGAAUAUCCCCAACAGCAUUUCUCUCUUCAAGCCUGCUAGCGUUAUAAUCCCUUUAUUCUUACCAGCUGUCCCUCCCAUCCUCUUGGCCCCUAGUGCUGUGAUAGAUAUUUGGGGAGGUGGGGCUGAGGGGUAGAGAAAGAGGUUGUCACCCUUCUUCCCUAGAGUGAGGCAUUUUCCUUCUCUUCAUCUUUUCAUUUUCGAGAUGCUUAACAAGUGAAAUAUGUAAAUAUGUUUGCAUGCUCACUUGAACUUGUUUUCUUGCUGGCUGAUGUAUAGCUGGGACUCAAGAGGGGGAGAGGAGAAAGAGACAGAAGUGAACAUUCCCCCUGGUUUUCCCGGUAUGGGCAUCCCCAGAGUUGCUGGAGAAGACCCUUCUGUAAAAGCCAGCAGUCUCCCUUCCAUGACAUCACCACCUAAGCCCUUCCAACUUUAGCUUCAGAACAGGAAGAAGGCUCAAAAUAGAACCACCUUAGGAAUCCAGCUCCUUCAGAAGAUCAACUUUUCAAUCAGCGGCUGGAGGAACACAGAACUUGGACGGGGGGGAGAGAAAGCUGUAGUGUUUGCAUUCGAAAGGUUGUCAGUGAUUCUUGCCCACCAUAACUGUUGAAUCAACAAACUAUAGUGAAAACCCCGUGCAGGUGUGCUACAUACGUCAUCAUCAUCAGUGUCAUCAGUUUGAGUACAUUCUUAGCACUCAGAGCAAGAACAGUAAGUCAUUUUUUUGCUAAUGUGCAUUUCUUCUUAAAGUGUAAAACCCCCACUAGUUUCUGCUGCAUGAUCUGAGAUACUGAGAAAACUAAAAAUCUUAAGCAACAAAUAGAUGUUUUUAGAAAUCUACGUUUGCGUAAACAUGUAAAUUGAGUAUCCAGUUGAUGGCGUUGCAUGGCCAAGUUGGGGUAAAGGAAAAAAGCACUGGGCUCAGUCAUUGAUGUGGAUUUGAGCCCAGGUCUGCCUGGGUAGAGUGUGAUGUCAGAUAAAUCACCCAACCUCUCUUGGGUUUUUAUUUUCUGUCUAUAAAAUGGGCUAAUGAUAUCUAACCUAUUUCUAGAUUCCUUUUUUGCUGAAUCAAUGAAUAAUUUAUUGGCAGUUCCAUAGGAUUCUUGUGGAGACCAAAUAAGAAAGCACAUAGAAGAUUAUUGAAUGUUAGGCAGAUGUGAAGUAUCAUUGCCAUGUUUGAUCAGGAGCACUUUGAGGACAGGGACGGUGUCUUAUUUGUCUUUAUUUCCUGAUUCUGUGGAAGAGGUCUUGGCGCAUAGUAGUCCCUCAGUAAAUAUUUAUUGCAUGAGUGAUUGAGGUCAAGGAGAUAGCGAAUCCAUGCAUGGACGAGAUGCACUGUGAAACACAGCUGGGAAGCUUACUGCAUGUCGGGCGUAUUAUCAGAGUAAAAGCCUCAGCAUCCUCAUUAGUAUGUAUAAAGCGUGUGUUCAGUUUUCAUCCUAAUAUAAUUCUGCUGGGCCUUUUAAUAUUUCAGCCUCACCACUUGCUGGGCUGUGACCCUACUUUUUCUUCUGCUUCCUGACAUCCCGAACCAGAAGGGGAUCUGUUAGUCCUUCACUUCAUGGGGAGCCUUCAGAGGGAGUCGUGCAGCUGCCCGGAAAGGAUGCCUCCGGCCGACACAGUGACUGACAGGCUGCCCUGGCUCAGUUAUCACAGUGCUGAUGCUGUCAGUUCUAAAGGUACAGUACUGUGAUAACUGAAGGAUGGCAGCCAUCUUGCCUUCCGUCACGGGAGCCCCAUGGUGCUGGGAAAGAAGACAGAGAUGAAAGACGCGUGUGAAAUGGGGUUGGGCCCUCCUACCCUGUUCCCAUAUUGUGUCUCCCUAGAGCACAGGGAAUGUCAUACCACCUGUCUGCCUUAUUUUGUAACAUGGGUCAAGAGGAGUUGGCUAGUUGUUCGCACGGCAAAGUGAAGACUGUUGUACUGAGCAGGCAUACAUUAAGAUCUUGGGAACUUCUAAGAGACUGACAUCAGAUGAGUAAUAAGUGUGAAUUAGUAUUUCUCGAGUGGUAUUCAGAGAAAUGUGUGCCAUUUUUAUAAAUGUAAAAGGUAACCUGAUUAGAACAGCUUGACACUUGUCAAUAUUACAUGUUCAAAAUUAAAUUCAACUUAAAUGGGGAGGAAUAAAGGCCUACAUGUUGAACAGUACUGAUAUUAUUUCGUGAAUAAAAUUACAUUUUUGUGUUUUAAGGAA